CAUGCAACUUAGAUCAGAGAUCUCAGAGAAGAAUGUGUUAGAAGUGACAUAAAGAGAACCAGAUAUUCUCACUGUCAUUUCAUAAAAAAUUUUGAGGAGCUU